CUGGGCAAACUUUUGCAGAAUCUCAUCCCCUUUCUGCAAAGCUUCCAUUCCUUGGUCCGUCUUCGAGCACAGGGGCCCCUCCAUUGCUCAUCUUCCCUUGUCUUGACAGAAAUCUCCCAGCACUCUCCUUGGAGAUGACAUCUGACCCCUGAGUCCAGCAUUGAACCAGUUGCCCCAGGCAGCCAGCCAAGCUGCCUGGGAGCCCUUGGAGCAUUCCUGCCUUUGUCCCAUUCCUUUGGUUGCCUCAGCGCCUUUUUGCAUUGUGUGCUCUGAUUUCUCUUCCUUCCAUCGCCCCCCAAAACUCCACCAUCUUUUGCCUUCUCCAUGAAUCUUUCUUGAUUCUCUUAACCCAGAGAAGAUCUAAACAUCUCUAUGUACUUAUGCUGACCAAUGGGUUCCUGGUUUUUUUGUAGCCUUUAUUUCUGUCACCCAAGCCCACUGGUACUAGACAGUGCCCAAACAAAAUUUACAAAUUCAAGGACUGUUCAAAUUCUCUUUUUCACUCCACACAAGCAGUCCCAGCCUGUGAGGACAUACAGGUCUUCUGCCCACCAUUUUGCUACUGCACAGCGAUGCCCUCUCUAUUUUAAAAUGUUUCUGCCUGAGGACAAGUUAUUGCACAGCUUUUUAAACAGACUUGCAGUGCUUUAAUCGCCAGACUCUUGCUGUUUCUACACACUGAAGGCCAGAUCCUGGGGGUGCUGAGCCGGUUUGCUGAGAGCCACGGCUCUGCCCGAUUCCUCAGUGAGGCCCGUUUCGACAUUGCACAACGUGUCUGUCCUCCGGGAGCCGUGCGCAAUCUCCGAUUGGGACAGACGUCUGAGCUUGAUCCCACUGGAAUGACGUCAAAGGUUGCAAUAUUGUCCCUCUUGUCGGCGCUGGCAGAGCCCGGCCUGGCCGUGUGCCUCCCGGCCUGGCCACUGCUGCUCCCACCCGCACAGCUCCAUUCACAGGUUGCCACAUGGCAGUGCAGGUGGCCCGUGUGGUUUUACACCGGUGGAGAUCUGCUCACACACGUCUGGCUCUUCUCUGCAAAUUCCUGCUGCUCCAGAAGCCUCUGACUGAAAGGAAAUGGAGGUUGCUUUUAGAAGGAGCAUCUUCCGACGCUGACCUGUGAGCUGAUAAAAGCCCAGCGAACUCGCAGCCUUUCCUGUGCUUGGAACUCAGGCUGGCACAAGCAAACGGUGCUUGGCACCAAGAGGGUGCCAGUAAGUCACUGGCUGUGGUCUGGCACUCAUCUCCACGGCACGGGUUAAGAGAAUAAGAGUACAGCAUCUAUAAGCAGCUGUUUUGAACACUUGCUGCUGAGGUCAGCUGAAAUCAACAGGAACAGUUAAGGCAGCCGCCUCAGCUUGCACCCAACUGGCCGUGGGGAAACAAGGCUGACAGACAGGCAGCUGCACCUGUCUGCUGCAACAGGGAAGCUUCCCCAGUGCUGCAGGGAAGGAAGGGCCGACACAUCCUCGGGGCAGUGCAGGCUGACUUCCCUGGCCCCAGGCACCCCUGCCUGCUGCCCGCCCCCGAGGCUACGGCCAGGCAGGGGAGUUGUGAAAUGCCAGCAGGAUGUGAUUCUUUGUGACCUGUUGGCAUCAUGACAAGACUUGCCUGCUCCUCUCCAGCCCUUUGCUGGCCCUAGCAGCUGGUAAGGCAGCUGCUGACAUCUCACAUCUGCCAGAGCCUGUUUGAAGGGGGCUGAUUCCAGCCCCAGGUGCGUGAAAUGAUGUUUCUGACUCGGUCAGCUGUGCCCUGGCCCACGCCACGGUCCCUUUUGACAGCCCUGCACACAGGUUGGGGGGGAAGGAAAGAGUGUUUGACAAUUUCAAUUUUUAUAUGAUUGCCCAGGCAGUUCUUAGAUUCUUCUUAAAAAGGUGCUGACAGAUGCAGAACAGCUCCCAGGUUUUGAUUUUCGAAAUACUGGGGUUUCCAGGCAGUAAAUCCAGCAGGAGGAGGCGCAGUGUAACUGUGGCUGUGUGUGGUGCCCUCUCAUUCUGGCAGCUCAGCCCUGGUCAGGGGGAGCUGCUCCCCGGGUGCUGCCCCAGCUGGUGAAUGCCUCGGGGAAAGAGGAAAAAGGGACAAUCUAUAACCUUAGCAGGAACAUUUUUGAUGGCUCGUUAAGUGAAGAGAGUGUAAGACGUAGGAACCUGUAUUAAAAAAAAAUUGCUAGGUUUACAAAAACGGGAGAGAUUGGUUUUUAACAUGAAGGAGCAGAGGUAAGGUAUCUUUUAAAAAUUUGUAGUUUUGGGCUGGAAAUAGGACUGGGACAAGUCUUGGAAAUAAAUAUUUAAUUACCAAAUCAAUUUUGAUAAAGACUCAGUUUACAAUUAAUUUCUUUAGCCUCUGCUGAGCUGACCAGUGAAACUCCUGGCUAGUACUGGUGUUGCUGUGGGUCCCAGCAGCAAAUAACUUACACUAGUGAUUAUAAUUAAUUUUGCACACUAAAAGUGAAAAACUUGACAACUCAGAACCAACAUCCUUUCUGUCUUCUCCAACAGUGAUAAGUAUCUUAUUUUUGAGUGCAAAAGCAAAAUUAGCUUUCUUCACUAAUGGUGCUAGUGAGGCUGUGAGCAGAAGGGCUGGCUUGGCAACACUUUGCUCUUUGCAGGGCAGAAGUCAGCCAGUAUUUACCUUAAGGGCUGUGAUAUUUAGACAAGAAUUUCAAAGAGAGUUACAAUAGUGAACUUCAGUUAACUGGCAAGUUUGCAUGGUCAAUGCUGAGCUAUAAUAGAGAGUUGAUACUUGUUGAUUGACAAGAGCCAUAGUGCUAGCUAGAGAAGCCCUCCUUCUUGCAUUAGUUCACAGGAUGGUCACAAUUAAAUGCAAUCUUAUGAAAAGAAAAAGAAAUCCAGAUCUAAAUGUUGCUCAAGUGUUGGGAUAAAUCAGCUUUAGAGCCAAGGGUGGGUGCUGCGUGGUGCCUCUGAGGCAGACAGAUCCCGGGUUUCCUUGGUCAAAUACAGGGUGAUGUGCAGUGGUUAGAGACACCUUUCUCUAGAAAAAAUAAAACAACCAACCAAAUUAGCAUGUCAUUAAGUAGAGGUUAUGGUAGAAUGAAAUAAUUAAAUAUGUUUUCUCUCAUUCAGUGAUUAUAGGCUCUUUUAUAGGAGCUGCCAUAUGCCCUGUGCCUUUGGCACAAUCCAGGGGUCUUGCAAAAAAGGCUUUGUUGUCAUCUUUUUUCCUAAAUAUUCUUCAUCAGAUGAUCAUAGUGAAAUAUUAUGAACAUCACUUUGUUCACUAUUGUAAAAUGUCAAGAUUAUAAUCCUUAGGAACAGAUGGUGAAACUGAAGAACAAGGAGAUGAGGGGAGACACUUCUAGCCAUAAAGACAAUGAAAUAGUAGCAGAAUCAGGUAAGGACACGGUUUCCUCUCAAGCAGUGUUUAUGGGAAAAAAUAUAUGCCUAUAAUCUGAAUUUAGCUCUCCGUUAUUUCUUGUGACACCAUUGGGGGUGGAUAUUUUGCUCCCAAACACCUACAGAAUAAGAAAAUGAGCAUCUUUAGAUCACAGGAUGUAUUACUAAAUUUUCCCCAAACAUUUUGACAAGUUCAAAGUUGAUGUGAAUGAAAACACUUGCUAUGAUCCCAUCUGUAUUUUGAGGAAGAAUGAUCUAGGUCUGAAUCAGUGUCUUCUUCAUUGCUUACAUUGCUACUAAGGAUUCAUUAGAUGACAAAAUAGAAGAUUACAUCACAAUGGGUAAUUUUUUAAAUGAGAGAUCCAUUUGUUUGGGUUUUUUUUGUUUGUUUAUUUGUUUUAAUUAUUCUGCUGAGAAUAUCUGCCCUGUGACAAGCAAAGCAGUGAGCUCUCAACAGCAGUGAAAUAAAUCUCAGUCCAGGGCAAUGCAAAUUGGGAAGAAGCUCCAGAGAGUGGUGCUAUUUGAAAUAAAUUGAGGAAUUAUUUUGAAAGCUUGCAUGGAAGAACAGAGUUUUGCCAGCUAUUACAGUUGGACUUCAGAGUAACUGCUGAGUGGGUAAUUAGUCCCUCAGGAACAAGGGAGUCUGGACAAAUGUAAAACAGAACAAGAGGGGGGAAAAAAGUGUACGAAGAAUUAACUUUAGAAAACAAGCUAGAACAUUAGUCACAGGAGGGAUAUAACUCAACUUUCAUUUAAUGUUUGUUUCUGUCAUGAACAGAAAUGUUGUUCUUAACCCCUGUACUGAUGCAGGAAAUAAGAAACCUCUCUUUUUAAGGAAGCUGAAAAUGUUUUGUUGCAGUUCAUCUCUUUGAUAAGAGGGUGAAGGGGAGGGUAAAGAAAUUUGCUGAUCAUACUGCAAACCCAACAGAAGGGACUUGUACUCACGUGAGGCAUGGAAAGAAACCAGUUCUGGAAAUUGUCAAGAUACUAUGUAGUGUCUCUUGUGGUCUUCAGCAACUCCCCCAUCAUCAUCCCCCAGAAACUCCCCUUGGCAAUUAGCCAAGGUUUAAAAGAUAAUGCCUCCCCAAUGUUUUCUCACAGCCUAAGACACAGAGUCUCAUGUUCUCCUGUGUUGAGCAGCAUUCCAGCUUCAAGGAGGUGAUUCACUUACCUAGCAUGUUAGAAGAUGUUGGCAUGCCUCUUUGCUGGGUUCACAAAGACUUGAUGAAACACAACUGCAAAGAAAACUCAAAGCAUGUGAGACAGCUUUGAGGUGACUUAGUGCAAAUGUGGUUGGUCCUGCCCUUCCAGAGCUCCUGAUUCAGUCCUAUGCUGUUAACUAUUGAACUAUAGACUUAUUUGUAGAGUUUCUACACUUGUUUUUUGUGGUUCAUUGCUCCCAUUAUUAUCUCAACAGCAGCAAUUUGCUAAUCAGUCCUCUUUGUAAAACAGGACUAAUAUUGCUUUGGAUGUUUGGUGUUUGGAAAAAAAGAAGAAUGGAAUUCAUGUGUCUUUGGAGAAAAGGGAAGCUUUGCAAAACCAAGCAGUUUAUUCAGGUGUGAUUCUAUGUAACUGGGCAAUAUUCAGUGAACUGUGUGUCUGGAGGGUUAAAAGUAAGCCUUCAGGAAGAGGCUGCCUGGGGAGGUUGUGGAGUCUCCGUCUCUGGAGAUAUUCAAAACCCACCUGGAUGCAGUUCUCUGUAAAGUGCUCUAGGUGAUCCUACUUCAGUGGGAGAGCUGAACUAGAUAGUCUCUAGAGGUCCCUUCCAGCUCCAACAAUUCUGUGAUUCUGUGAUCACAGCUGAAGGUUCAGGAUCAGACUCCCAGACCUACAUCCUCCCAAUUUUGAGGACUUUGGCACUUUCUGUGCUCUGCAAGCUCCAAAGAGGUUAAAUAAAUCUUGCUGAGCUCUCACCAUGUAUUUGGCCAAGUGAUGGGGUCCCACUUGCCUGUUCUGCACUGGUACCCUCAGGAGUGCUGCCUGUUGGUGCAUUUCUGACCUGGAUGCUCUGCUGUGACCUGAGCAAAGGUUACUGGUGUUUUCAUGCAGGCUCUGUUUACUGUAUAAGGUGAGAGAGAGCCUCUGGAUUCCAUCGUUUAGCUCAUCCUCUCUGUUUCCCAAUUCACUGCAAAUGACCAGACAGGCAGGCAGCUCCUUCUUGAAAACAUUCAACUUCUCCAGACAUGUGCCAGUUUCUGACAGACAUGGUGAUGGCAACUCAUGAUGGACACAACACGGUCACAGCUGUUAGUAAACAUUGUCUUCAAAAUCACCAUCUCCUCUCACCACCUUAAGCCAUUUCCCUGGAGUUCUCAUCACAAGGAUCCUGCACAAACACACCCAGCUCUGGCGUAUUCCUUCCAGGAGAGGGCAGGGGAAUACAGUUUAUUGCAGAUCCACUCCUGAACCAGAGGCAACAUUCAUCGUGUCCCAGAUCUUCCUGUACCUCUUCCAGUCUCUUUUACUUUCCUCAACUUGGAUGAGCAGAGGUAGGUGCUGUAUCUCCCCAAAGUGAGUCAAUGGGUUUUGUCACAUUUACAGACCUACCUGUCCUUGAGUCAUCAUCGGAAGGGGCAGUUUGGACUAGGCUGUUCCUGUUGCUCUUGAACCUCUCGCAAUGAGCCUCAGGUGUCAUGUUGAAGGCAUUGGCUUUAGGACCAAGGUUUAAACAGCUGAGUCCCAGCUCUUCUGCUUCACUUCACCAUCAAGCUAGGGAAGGCAGUAGUGAUGGGACAACUUGUCUGUCACACACUCAACACUCCCAUAUCCCUGCCAAAGGUGGUUUGAUUCCCUUGGUUGUUCAUAAAGUUAGCAGGUGCAGCUCUGCUUGUGGGUGCUUUUGCCAAUAGAUUAAAAUGCAGGGAUUGUGCAUGGAAACCCCAAGUUGGAGCUGGACCUGGUGUAAGAUGGUCUAGAGAAAUCCUAGCCAGAAAGUCAGCUGAUGUUUUCUCUGUGUGUCUUAAUGAAUAGAAACUUUGGGAGAAAAUCAGAAACUCUCCUUGGCUCCUCAGUGUCUUUAACAGUCCAAAGGGUAUUAAUAUUUAAAAAAUCCUAAAAUUAGUUUCUUCCAACUUAUCUCCCCUUAGACCUAUGACUCUGACUUGAAAACACAACGUUAUUUCCAAACUAGAGAAGGAAAGAAAAAGAAAUAAAAUCAAUAAACUGCUGGUGCUGCAGCAUAGAUGCCCUUUCAAGGCCAAAGAAAUCAAGUCCUGAGGUUGCUGUUGCCACCUUGCUCUGCAGAACUCCGGGCAGGGAUAAACAUAUUCUUUGUGUCAAUAUUUCUGUAGUACCGAGGGAACUUGCAGUCCUUAUCUGCGAGUGUCAAGGGCUGCUAAGUUAAAGUGAUGGUAACGCAACUGGAGAGUCUGAGAGGGUUUUUCCUUGGUGCUGGUCUAACCGCUGUGGUGCUAAAAGCCCCAGCACAGCUCGGCCGGACAGGGCCACCAGCUUUGUGGUGCACGGGAGGGAUCCAGCUGCUGAACGGUAAUUAAAAGAGGAAUAAAUCCCCAAAAAUAGAAUUUGAACUUCCUUCUAUUUUUUUUUUUUCUUUGCCCGAUUAUUUUUGCUUCUUUCAUUGGAAAAGAGCGGCCUUGAUUUGUAAAUCACAUGGAAAUGUGCAAGCAAUCAAUUCAGCCUGAGUAACCCUUGUUUUGCCAAGUAGCUGCUUGGUUCAUCAGAUGACUAAUACUUUGCUGCUGCCUUCAUGAGGAACAGCAGCGGCUGGGGCAGAAAUACCAGAGGUGACCUCUAAAGAUGACAAAACACCCUGUACAGCACAAUCCCUCUUUUUGCCCAUCCAUGAAAUUCAAACACUUUCCCUUGAGUCCCCUCAAAAAUGGGAAGUGAUUUGUAUCACAAAGCUGUUCAAACAACAUAGAGAAAUGGGAAAACGCGAGGCAGGAAAAAUCAGCCUCUUUACAGACACGUACUGAAAGGCAAAGUGUGGGCAGAGCCAAACAAUUCUCAGGUGUAAACUGUUGAGCACAGAGUGAAGGAGCCUUUUGCUGCCUUUCCCACCUCUAAUGGGUCUGUGCUACGUGGCAUAACAACCCAGGAACAACUUCAGUCUACGGUUGCUUUUUAACUUUACAAUGCAGUGCUAUUAUUAUCUCCAGGGAAAGUUUUAAAGGCUUGAAUGCCAAGGUUUAUUUGCCUUUCCUGACUGGAUCUCUAACACACAGCCUUCAGACAAAAGCCAAUAAAAGGGACCUUAACUUUAUGUUGGCCCUGGUGUUUGACUGGGCUCUGGGAAUGUGAAAAAGGUUGUCUGAGCAGGGGAACCAGUUGGACUGAAGUUCUCUUCCAAAAGGUGGCAAAAGAGAGAAUGGAAAAUCCCCAAGCAGGACCAAGGGACAGAGGAAAUAGUAGAUUUUAAAAGGACUUGGUGAAGAGAUGAAUAAAGGGAAAGAAAUCUCUUCGCGAUGCACAAGAAGGAUGGGGCAGGGGUAAAGACAAAUAUAUUUUAUAGCAGGGAGUGGGGGCUCUUUUUUGCUGAUUUUACCAAUGAAGUAUGUACCCUGAUGUCAGUCACAACUGCACAAAAUUUCAUCCCCAAAAGCCUGUCUCAGCUCAACAGUCAUUCCUGGUUCACAUAAAAAGUUGGCAGUGAAAAGUGAUCAGGACUCAUUAUAUUUGUCUAAAUCUGUGCGUUUCUCCUGAUGUUAAUAAAGGCUUGUAGUGUUUCCAAAACCUUGAGCAAAACUUAGAUGUGUGUCAAUUUGCUUUCACUGUCAAGGGGCUUCAAAGAAUUAAUCAGAAAAUCAGCUCACAGCUUGAGAAGUGUAUUCAGAUCUGAUGGAGGUUUGGAGUGGCUGAGUCAGCCCAGCAGCUGGCACCUGCCUCUGUAGCUGGUAAUUCUGGAUUUGGGGUUUUAGCUUCAAAGUGUUCCUGUGGAUUCCAAAACCAGGUCUGUGGUUGGAGGCCCUCAGAGCAGAGUCGUGGGGAAAACAAUGUGAGCAUCCUGAGAAAUAACAUUUUGCAGAUAAAGUCUCUGCUCAGAAAGGGUGCUGUAGAGGAUGAACCUGUGGACAUGUUUCACCAAGGAUGACCCCAGAUCUGGGCUUCAAGUGACAGUGACUUCUGUGUGUUUUCUUAUUUUCUGUUGUACAAUGAUGGGUUGGUGCAGAGGUGAAACUAUUUUACACUAAAGUGAAAUAUAAGAACUUGUGCUACUGUAUAUCCUGUUUGUUUUUAAUGUGUCCUUUGUUUCUGUCUAGAAGUUUUGCCUGGGCAGAAGAAGAGGACUUCAAUAUUUGUCCAGGGUGUCCUGAUAUGCAAUAGCUGGUCAGGGCAUUAAUUUCUACAAGAGUGCUGGACACCCAGAAAUGCCUCAGGCUCACUGAGCAGGAACACAAGGGCUUUGCUGAAAUUCCAAGGUGCAGCUGAUCCUGUGUGCACAGGAAAGGGAGAUCUCAGGGAGAAAUACAGAAGCCCUACCUACACUUUUCUGCAUAUUUCCAUGGCAUUUCACCUCCCAGUGAUUGCUGUUGCCUUGUGUUGAAUGGGUGAGAUGUUCUGUAGGGUUCUGCAGUGUAGUGCAAGUGACUCAUCCAUGAGCUGACCAAAAUGCCCACGAAUUGAAGUGCUUUUUCAUGCCACAGGUGUCCUUGGGUUCAGACUAGAAAGCUCUUUACCUGAUUUCACAACUUACUACCUGUUUGUGGGAGUGACUGGUCCAUUGCAAACAGGAAAAAGCAUUGGAUCUCUCCUCCACCACAGCAUGCAGCAGCACAAGGGCUGGCACUGGCACAGGAGAAGGUGGCUGGACAUGUCCUCCUGCAGCAUCACAUGCUUGGAUUUGCUUGAGCCCACUGAAAACAUCACAGCUUCGUAUCACAGCUUCAGGAACAGCUAGUGGUGCAGCCCUGGAGCUGUGUGGUGGCCAAUGCACCCAGCCUUGAGUGGUACUUCUAGGGAAGGGGAGAGGUUGUGGGCCGAGGAUGGAUGACACUUGAGACACACACCAUUUUAUUCCCACAUAGGGUAAAUAUGGGGUUUCACUGCCUCUCCAGCAAUUUAGAGAGAGUCAGGAACUACUGUAACUAGAAUAUAAAGAAAUAGUCUUUUGCACGUACUUUAGAGAAGCCUUUAAUGUGUCCCAGUGCAUGUGUAGAUCAAACUAAUGAUAAAAUUAAGAUUUUAACUUUUGAUUAUUUUCAUUGUAAUAAAAAUCAUUAGGGAAUUUCAAAUCUGUAUAGCCACCAAUUCAAAUUCCAUUAAAGCUCAGUCUUGAAGGCUUAGGAUUUUAGCUGUAUCUAAAGGCCCUUUGCAUUGUACCAAGCUGAACUUCAGCUACUCGGGGAACAGGAUUUUAGUGAGAGAAAACAGUAAAGGAAGGUUUGCCAAAAAUCUAUUUUCAGUAAAAUUAUUUCAUGGCAGAGUUUUUCCCAAUGUAAUGUUUUUUAUAUCAGUGAAGUUACUCUAAUGCAGAAUUUGCCCUGGUGAUUUUGUUUAAGUAUGACAUCUAGGAGUUUGAUGAGUGUGUAUUUAUGCGUUAUUCGCUGAGGUGAUGUGGAGAGGAAGAGCAAGGUCUGUGCCUGAGAGCAGAGCCCCAAGCACCCCUGGCUCCUUCAGUGAUACCCACCGGGGUGAGGCAGCACCUCUGGGCUCACCUCUGUGCUGCUGCUGGGCCGUGUCUGCUGUGACUUGUCAAGGCUGAACGUCCUGUUGGGAGAAGACUGGCUUGUGCUGGCUGAACUGCAACAUGUUACUGGCAAUCCUGAAGUGAUGCAGAUGGAGGAUAUUCUUGUCAGUUUAAGGCCCUGGCUGGAGCCGAAAGAAGAGAAUAUGGCUGGAUUAUUCUCAGAUGCUUUGUGCCUCUGUUUGCCCAUGAAAUCAUAAAAUGAGGAUAAUCCCUCCUUUUUUCCUGUAGGAUAGUGAGGCCCACAGUCCUGCUGUGGGAGAGCGGGGAUGGUGCUCUGUCCCAUGUAGCCCUGUGCACAGACCAGCUGUCACCAGACUGUUCUGACAUCCCAGACUGCAUCUUCCCAAGGGUCUGAAAACUGAAAACCUGAAUUUGAAAACCCACUGAUUGAACGGAAAAACUCAGCUCUGCUGCAGCUUGCACCACUGCAGGCUUCCUCAGCUGGGCUUCACUGCAGGAGUUAAACAUGGAUCCUGAUCCAUGCCAAACAUUGCUUAACUAUAGUUUAUAUAUGUAUGUAUAUAUAUAAGUACAUGUAUGCAUAAAAAUAAUAUAUGUAUUUAUAUUAAAAAUAGUUAUGAUUGUAAUAA